rnacentral:rRNA from 1 species
UAACACGUGAGUAACCUGUCCUUUUCUUUGGGAUAACGGCUGGAAACGGCUGCUAAUACUGGAUAUUCAGGCUGCAUCGCAUGGUGUGGUUUGGAAAGGUUUUUUCUGGGAUUGGGUGGGCUCGCGGCCUAUCAGCUUGUUGGUGGGGUGAUGGCUUACCAAGGCUUUGACGGGUAGCCGGCCUGAGAGGGUGGUCGGUCGCACUGGGACUGAGAUACGGCCCAGACUCCUACGGGAGGCAGCAGUGGGGAAUAUUGCACAAUGGACGAAAGUUUGAUGCAGCGACGCCGCGUGGAGGGUGUAGGCCUUCGGGUUGUGAACUCCUUUUUCUCGCGAAAAAGGCACAGUUUUGGCUGUGUUGAUGGUAGUGGGGGAAGAAGCGCCGGCUAACUACGUGCCAGCAGCCGCGGUAAUACGUAGGGCGCGAGCGUUGUCCGGAUUUAUUGGGCGUAAAGAGCUCGUAGGUGGUUCGUCGCGUCUGUCGUGAAAGCCAGCAGCUUAACUGUUGGUCUGCGGUGGGUACGGGCGGGCUUGAGUGCG